AGCGAACGCUGGCGGCAGGCUUAACACAUGCAAGUCGAACGGUCCUUCGGGAUAGUGGCGGACGGGUGUGUAACACGUGGGAACGUACCCUUAGGUUCGGAACAACACAGGGAAACUUGUGCUAAUACCGGAUAAGCCCUUCGGGGGAAAGAUUUAUCGCCUUUGGAGCGGCCCGCGUCUGAUUAGCUUGUUGGUGAGGUAAUGGCUCACCAAGGCUACGAUCAGUAGCUGGUCUGAGAGGAUGGCCAGCCACACUGGGACUGAGACACGGCCCAGACUCCUACGGGAGGCAGCAGUGGGGAAUCUUGCGCAAUGGGCGAAAGCCUGACGCAGCCAUGCCGCGUGGAUGAUGAAGGUCUUAGGAUUGUAAAAUCCUUUCACCGGGGACGAUAAUGACGGUACCCGGAGAAGAAGCCCCGGCUAACCUCGUGCCAGCCGCCGCGGUAA
rnacentral:rRNA from 1 species